rnacentral:lncRNA from 1 species
UGAGGCCAGGAGUUUGAGACCAGCCCAGGCAACAUAGAAAGACCCUGUCUCUUGCUGUGUGUGCUGGUGCACCAUGUCUCUAGAAAACAAAGUCUCCACAUACUCCCUCACAGUGGUAUGCUGGUAAACUAGCUCUCUCUCCCUCCCCCUCUCUCUUUCACAUGUGUGCAUGCACACACACACACACACACACGCGCACACACACACACAGCCCAGAUUUGUAGUGAUUGCCACGGCCCAUCGCUGUGGUGUAAAUAUUCCCAUCACAGCACUAUCGAGCUACUGACACGAUGUCACUGAACUCGGAGUAGGGAGGAGAUGUGCAUAAUUGGCUGUUGUAAAGUGGUCCAAGCUCACUCUGGCACAGCAUGGCAGGUCUCCACCUGAGUUCACAUCCCACGCAGGGCCCGUGGGUGAGGCUGUCCACUGCAGCAGUCUGGGUGUCUCUGGGUGGGGGAUGGAUGGGUGGAUGAGCUAGGCGCACACCAUGCAGUGCCGUGCAAUUGUCAGAUGCAGUGAGUGAGAUUGGCUCACGCCUGUAAUCCCAGCACUUUGGGAGGCCAAGGCAGUUGGAUCACCUGAGGUCAGGAGUUCGAGACCAGCCUGGCCAACAUGGUGAAACCCUGUCUCUACUAAAUAAAAAUACAAAAAUUAGCUGGGCGUGGUGGCAUGCACCUGUAAUCCCUAAUCACCUGAACCCAGGAGAUGGAGG